UAAAGGUAAGACAUUGCUAUUUGAGGUCACUACUAAACACUUUAGCUCAAUUUCUAUAUCCACAGUAUACGUCCUACCUAGCUGGGGAACAUUAUUUCAGAUACUGCCUGGAUGAGACUGCAGUGGAGAGCUGUUGGCAGGUGAGAGAGUGAGGGAUGGAAGGAUUCAAAGCAUGGACAAGGGGAGACUUAUCGGAGACUGUAG